ensembl:lncRNA
GUAUUUUUCUUUUUUAUUUCUUUUCUUUUAUAAUUUUAUUGCGUUCCACAAAUUUUGAUGUAUUUUCAGCACCAUUCAAUUUCAAAUAUUUGAAUAUCCCUUAUGACUUUUUCUUUGACCUACUGUUUAGUGUGUGUAGUGUAAUAUUCAAAUACUAUGAGUUUUCAUAUAUAUGAAAGUCAAAUAUAUGUACUAUCUCUGUAUAUGUGUGUAUGUACUCUAUAUACAUGUGUGUGUGUAUAUAUAUUCUAACUGCAUUGUGGUCAGAGGAUACGCUGCAUAAUUUUAGCCAUUUUAAGUUAUUGGUAUGUUUCAUAGCCCAGUAAAAGAGCUUUCUUGGUGAAGGUACACUUGAAAAAAAUUUGGGUAUGGAGUUGUUGAGUGGGGUGUCCUAUAAAUGUCCAUUAAAAUAAGAUUUUUGAUACUGUUUUGUCUUCUAUAUAUUUAUUAAUUUUUUAGUCUAUACAUUUUAUUGUCAAAAGGCAGAUGUUAAAAUCUGCUGUGAUUUUACAUUUGUCUUUUUAAAAUUCUGUCAAAAUUUAUUUAAUGAUUUUUGAAGCUCUAUAUUAGACACUCUGGUACAUUCACAAUUUUAUAUCUUUCUGAUGAAUUAUUCUUAUUAUUUUGAAAGUUUCCUCUUUAUUUCUGGGAUUUCACUUUGUCUUGAAGUCUGCAUUAUUUAAUUUAUUUACUUUUAUUUUAUUUCAUUUUAUUUUUUGACCAUCCCCCACAUGUGGAGUUCCUGGGCCAGGGAUCAGAUCUAAGCCACUCCCAGCUCUCCAGAGACAUCGCUGAUCCCAUUGCACCAUAGCUGGAACUCCAAGCCUAUUUUAUUUGAUAACUAAACUAGCAAUCUCAGCUUUCACAUUGUAGCAACUUGCAAGAUCUAUCAUUUCCCAUUCAUUUACUAAGCAGUGUUAGUGCUGGUUAUUUUCAAAGGCCCUUCUUCCUGAAUUUUUUUAGUUUUAGCUACUCUGUGAUUUCAAAUUAAAACCUCUCUUUCUUUAUCUCCUCUCUCUGGCUCCCUCUGGCUCUCUCUUGCUCUCUUCUGCUUUUCUUUUUUAUUCUUAACUAAAAAACCUCCAUCUUGGCAGGACCUGAACUCCAACCUCUUUCUCCUCAGACAGCUGAUACUCAUUUAUCCAAGUCCCAGUGCCCAGUACCUCAUAAUGUAAACAUAUUUGGAGAUGAGGUCUUUAAUUGUGAAGUUAAAGUGAGGCCCUGCAGGGGGGCACUGGUCUGAUAUGGCUGCUAUACUCCCAAAAAGAGAGAGGCAUUAGAGAUGUGCAUGCCCAGAGGGAUGACCAUAUGAAGAGACAGCAAAGAGGCAGCCUUCUGAAAGGGGAAUCCAACCUUGCUGACAACUUGAUCUUGGACUUCCAGCUUACAGAACUGUUAGAAGAUAAAUUUCUGUUAUUCAAGCCAUCCAGUGUGUUAUUAGCUUUAGCAAACUAAUACAUGCGUUAUGAGCAAAUAUGAAAAAAAUUUUAGUCUCCUAUCUAUAUAAGCCUUUCCUCUAAGACACUUAGUCUAUCUGGCUUUCUCCUAGUUAAACUCCAUUAUUGUUAACUCAGUAAAACUGCAGCAAGACCUGGGAUCUCACUUUCCCUAAACCUACUUUUCCUGCUAUAACUUAGAAAAUCACACAAGGGAUAAAGCUGAAGUGACUAAAAGGUUUCAGCUGGGUAUGAUUCUUCUCUCAAUAAUUUUUACCCCUUGUUGGAGUUCCUGUUGUGGCGCAGUGGAAACAAUCCCAACUAGUAACCGUGAGGAUGAGGGUUUGAUCCCUGGGCUUGCUCAGUGUGUUAAGGAUCCGGCAUUGCUGUGAGCUGUGGUGUAGGUCGCAGACACGGCUCAGAUUCUGAUUUGCUAUGGCUGUGGCAUAGGCCCACAGCUGUAGCUCCACUUCCACCCUAGCCUGGGAACUUCCAUAUGCCUCGAGUGUGGCCCUAAAAUGCAAAAAAAAAAAAAAA